GGGGAAUUUUCCGCAAUGGGCGAAAGCCUGACGGAGCAAUACCGCGUGAGGGAGGAAGGCUUUUGGGUUGUAAACCUCUUUUCUUAGGGAAGAAGAACUGACGGUACCUAAGGAAUCAGCAUCGGCUAACUCCGUGCCAGCAGCCGCGGUAAUACGGAGGAUGCAAGCGUUAUCCGGAAUUAUUGGGCGUAAAGCGUCCGCAGGUGGCCUUUCAAGUCUGCUGUCAAAGACCAGAGCUCAACUCUGGGCAGGCGGUGGAAACUGGGAGGCUAGAGUACGGUAGGGGUAGAGGGAAUUCCCAGUGUAGCGGUGAAAUGCGUAGAGAUUGGGAAGAACACCAGUGGCGAAGGCGCUCUACUGGACCGAAACUGACACUCAGGGACGAAAGCUAGGGGAGUUUACAGAUUAGAUACCCCUGUAGUC
rnacentral:rRNA from 1 species